GCUGGUGUAAAUGAUGACUUGACUUUUUUUCCCCAUCAGAUCGACCAUGUUGAUCACUGAGAAAACUUGCCAGUUAGUCCUGAUGCACCAGC
ensembl:snoRNA predicted gene, 25878